rnacentral:rRNA from 1 species
UACGGGGGGGGCAAGCGUUGUUCGGAAUUACUGGGCGUAAAGGGCUCGUAGGUGGCCAACUAAGUCAUACGUGAAAUCCCUCGGCUUAACCGGGGAACUGCGUCUGAUACUGGAUGGCUUGAGAUUGGGAGAGGGAUGCGGAAUUCCAGGUGUAGCGGUGAAAUGCGUAGAUAUCUGGAGGAACACCGGUGGCGAAGGCGGCAUCCUGGACCAACACUGACACUGAGGAGCGAAAGCCAGGGGAGCAAACGGG